UGAACGCUCUGAAAAAAAAUAUAUAAGAAUAUUUUUUUUUCAGAAUAUUUUUGUCGCGUUGGUUGUUGAUCGCGGAUUGAACAUUAAGAUGUAAAAAACAACCUUACAUAAAAAUAAUUGUAAUUAUUUUAAAGAAGAAACCAGAAAUAAAGAGGAUUUGAACAUCGACAAGGUAGCAUCGCUUGAUACCAGUGCAUCGUCCUAUCCUUUAAAAAACCUCGGCUAGAACAUGACUAUACAGUAUCUAUCAAAAGAGACAUGGAAAAAACUUCAAACUUGCUACUACAAACAUGCAAAUCACAUUCAGCACGUAACCUUCCUUUAUGAAGCGUACAACCGCAUUUUGCACGCCGCUACACACGGUUCGUACUGUUUAAAAUGUUAUCAUUUUAGUAAAUCAAAUUUACGACCGCCUAGACACGAGCGCGCUGUAAAUAUAAAUGCAUUUUAAUAUUA